UACGAGAGGCCCAAACGUUAUUCGGAAUUACUGGGCUUAAAGAGUUCGUAGGCGGCAUGAAAAGUAGGGUGUGAAAGCCCUCGGCUCAACCGAGGAAUUGCGCUCUAAACUGUCGUGCUAGAGGAACCUAGAGGUGAGCAGAACUGAUGGUGGAGCGGUGAAAUGCGUUGAUAUCAUCAGGAAUACCGGAGGCGAAGGCAGCCCC
rnacentral:rRNA from 1 species